rnacentral:misc_RNA from 1 species
AACGCACAUUGCGCCCAUUAGUAUUCUAGUGGGCAUGCCUGUUCGAGCGUCAUUUCAACCCUCAGGCACCCUUGGGUGUCUGGCGUUGGGGCUUUCUACAGCGGUCAAUCGCCCUGUAGGCCCCGAAUACUAGUGGCGGGCUCGUCCAGCACUCCGAGCGCAGUAAUACAUCUCGCUUAGGACGUCUGGCGGGUUCCCAGCCGUAAAACCCCCCAAACAUACAGAAUGUUGACCUCGGAUCAGGUAGGAAUACCCGCUGAACUUAA